rnacentral:rRNA from 1 species
ACAGCCGUUGCACACGAGUCAGUCGAUCCUAAGCCCUAGGAGAAAUCCGAAACGAUGGUCUUGUUUCUAGCAAAUUCAAUUCCAUUGGGCGAAAGGGAAUCCGGUU